AUUCUAGAGUCUGAUCAUGGCUCAGGACGAACGCUGGCGGCGUGCCUAAUACAUGCAAGUCGAACGAACUCUGGUAUUGAUUGGUGCUUGCAUCAUGAUUUACAUUUGAGUGAGUGGCGAACUGGUGAGUAACACGUGGGAAACCUGCCCAGAAGCGGGGGAUAACACCUGGAAACAGAUGCUAAUACCGCAUAACAACUUGGACCGCAUGGUCCGAGUUUGAAAGAUGGCUUCGGCUAUCACUUUUGGAUGGUCCCGCGGCGUAUUAGCUAGAUGGUGAGGUAACGGCUCACCAUGGCAAUGAUACGUAGCCGACCUGAGAGGGUAAUCGGCCACAUUGGGACUGAGACACGGCCCAAACUCCUACGGGAGGCAGCAGUAGGGAAUCUUCCACAAUGGACGAAAGACUGAUGGAGCAACGCCGCGUGAGUGAAGAAGGGUUUCGGCUCGUAAAACUCUGUUGUUAAAGAAGAACAUAUCUGAGAGUAACUGUUCAGGUAUUGACGGUAUUUAACCAGAAAGCCACGGCUAACUACGUGCCAGCAGCCGCGGUAAUACGUAGGUGGCAAGCGUUGUCCGGAUUUAUUGGGCGUAAAGCGAGCGCAGGCGGUUUUUUAAGUCUGAUGUGAAAGCCUUCGGCUCAACCGAAGAAGUGCAUCGGAAACUGGGAAACUUGAGUGCAGAAGAGGACAGUGGAACUCCAUGUGUAGCGGUGAAAUGCGUAGAUAUAUGGAAGAACACCAGUGGCGAAGGCGGCUGUCUGGUCUGUAACUGACGCUGAGGCUCGAAAGUAUGGGUAGCAAACAGGAUUAGAUACCCUGGUAGUCCAUACCGUAAACGAUGAAUGCUAAGUGUUGGAGGGUUUCCGCCCUUCAGUGCUGCAGCUAACGCAUUAAGCAUUCCGCCUGGGGAGUACGGCCGCAAGGCUGAAACUCAAAGGAAUUGACGGGGGCCCGCACAAGCGGUGGAGCAUGUGGUUUAAUUCGAAGCUACGCGAAGAACCUUACCAGGUCUUGACAUACUAUGCAAAUCUAAGAGAUUAGACGUUCCCUUCGGGGACAUGGAUACAGGUGGUGCAUGGUUGUCGUCAGCUCGUGUCGUGAGAUGUUGGGUUAAGUCCCGCAACGAGCGCAACCCUUGUCUUAUGUUGCCAGCAUUUGGUUGGGGACUCAUGAGAGACUGCCGGGGUUAACUCGGAGGAAGGUGGGGAUGACGUCAAAUCAUCAUGCCCCUUAUGUCCAGGGCUUCACACAUGCUACAAUGGUCGGUACAACGCGCAGCGACACUGUGAGGUGGAGCGAAUCGCUGAAAGCCGGUCUUAGUUCGGAUUGGGGUCUGCAACUCGACCCCAUGAAGUCGGAGUCGCUAGUAAUCGUAGAUCAGCAAUGCUGCGGUGAAUACGUUCCCGGGCCUUGUACACACCGCCCGUCACACGGUACCAU
rnacentral:rRNA from 1 species